AGGACGAACGCUGGCGGCGUGCUUAACACAUGCAAGUCGAACGGUAAGGCCCUUCGGGGUACACGAGUGGCGAACGGGUGAGUAACACGUGGGUGAUCUGCCCUGCACUUCGGGAUAAGCUUGGGAAACUGGGUCUAAUACCGGAUAUGACUACGAAUCGCAUGGUUUGUGGUGGAAAGCUUUUGCGGUGUGGGAUGGGCCCGCGGCCUAUCAGCUUGUUGGUGGGGUGAUGGCCUACCAAGGCGACGACGGGUAGCCGGCCUGAGAGGGUGUCCGGCCACACUGGGACUGAGAUACGGCCCAGACUCCUACGGGAGGCAGCAGUGGGGAAUAUUGGACAAUGGGCGAAAGCCUGAUCCAGCAAUGCCGCGUGAGUGAUGAAGGCCUUAGGGUCGUAAAGCUCUUUUACCCGGGAUGAUAAUGACAGUACCGGGAGAAUAAGCCCGGCUAACUCCGCGCCAGCAGCCGC
rnacentral:rRNA from 1 species